GAUGAAGAACGCAGUGAAAUGCGAUAAGUAAUGUGAAUUGCAGAAUUCAGUGAAUCAUCGAAUCUUUGAACGCACCUUGCACCCUUUGGCAUUCCGAAGGGUAUGCUCGUUUGAGUGUCAUUGUACUCUCACACUCCCAAUUGCUUUGGAUUGGGAGCGGUGGACUUGGGUGUUGCUGCUUGACUGAGGCUCACCUGAAAUAUGUUAGUGCACCUCUUGAUUGAACAUAGUACGGCGUGAUAAGUGUCUUCGCCGGCUCCUCGCAAAGAGGGUGGCCGAUCGGGAGCUCUGUUGCUUCAAACUGUCUUCGGACAAUCUUCUGGCGACUUGACCUCAAAUCGAGUAGGACUACCCGCUGAACUUAAGCAUAUCAAUAAGGGAGGA
rnacentral:misc_RNA from 1 species